UAAUACGUAGGGGGCAAGCGUUGUCCGGAUUUAUUGGGCGUAAAGAGCGUGUAGGCGGCCCGGCAGGUCCGCUGUGAAAACUCGAGGCUCAACCUCGAGACGUCGAUGGAAACCGCCGGGCUAGAGUCCGGAAGAGGAGAGUGGAAUUCCUGGUGUAGCGGUGAAAUGCGCAGAUAUCAGGAGGAACACCCGUGGCGAAAGCGGCUCUCUGGGACGGUACUGACGCUGAGACGCGAAAGCGUGGGGAGCGAACAGGAUUAGAUACCCUGGUAGUCCACGCCGUAAA
rnacentral:rRNA from 1 species